GAUGAACGCUAGCGGCAGGCCUAACACAUGCAAGUCGAGGGGUAGAGUUCUUCGGGACUUGAGACCGGCGCACGGGUGCGUAACGCGUAUGCAAUCUACCUUAUACAGGGGAAUAGCCCAGAGAAAUUUGGAUUAAUGCCCCAUAGUAUUAUGAAAUCGCAUGGUUUUAUAAUUAAAGUUCCAACGGUAUAAGAUGAGCAUGCGUCCCAUUAGUUAGUUGGUAAGGUAACGGCUUACCAAGACAAUGAUGGGUAGGGGUCCUGAGAGGGAGAUCCCCCACACUGGGACUGAGACACGGCCCAGACUCCUACGGGAGGCAGCAGUGGGGAAUUUUGGACAAUGGGCGCAAGCCUGAUCCAGCCAUGCCGCGUGUAGGAUGAAGGCCCUCGGGUUGUAAACUGCUUUUGUACGGAACGAAAAGGUUUCUAUUAAUACUAGGAGCUCAUGACGGUACCGUAAGAAUAAGCACCGGCUAACUACGUG
rnacentral:rRNA from 1 species